rnacentral:rRNA from 1 species
GAGCGGGCACCUUCGGUGUCAGCGGCAAGACGGGUGAGUAACACGUGGGAACGUGCCCUUCGGGUUCGGAAUAACUCAGGGAAACUUUGAGCUAAUACCGGAUACGCCCUUAUGGGGAAAGGUUUACCCGCCGAAGGAUCGGCCCGCGUCUGAUUAGCUUGUUGGUGGGGUAACGGCCUACCAAGGCGACGAUCAGUAGCUGGUCUGAGAGGAUGAUCAGCCACACUGGGACUGAGACACGGCCCAGACUCUACGGGAGGCAGCAGUGGGGAAUAUUGGACAAUGGGCGCAAGCCUGAUCCAUGCCAUGCCGCGUGAGUGAUGAAGGCCUUAGGGUUGUAAAGCUCUUUUGUCCGGGACGAUAAUGACGGUACCGGAAGAAUAAGCCCCGGCUAACUUCGUGCCAGCAGCCGCGGUAAUACGAAGGGGGCUAGCGUUGCUCGGAAUCACUGGGCGUAAAGGGCGCGUAGGCGGCUUUUUAAGUCGGGGGUGAAAGCCUGUGGCUCAACCACAGAAUUGCCUUCGAUACUGGAAAGCUUGAGACCGGAAGAGGACAGCGGAACUGCGAGUGUAGAGGUGAAAUUCGUAGAUAUUCGCAAGAACACCAGUGGCGAAGGCGGCUGUCUGGUCCGGUUCUGACGCUGAGGCGCGAAAGCGUGGGGAGCAAACAGGAUUAGAUCCCUGGUAGUCCCGCCU